rnacentral:lncRNA from 1 species
UUUCUUUCAAACUUUUCUGAACCUUCUUUCUCAUCCAUCUCUCUACUGAAUCUUCUUCUCCUCUCUAAAUUUCUCACUCUAUUCUACUACUGCUUCUAUAGUGGAAGGUGUCUAAGUGUUAGAAGUGCUCUACCUUCACAGAACAGUGGGUAUUCUUCCUCUGGUAAGUUAUUUUCUUCUUUUGUACCUUAGGGAGUCGUGAUCAUGCAACAGGGUUCUGCUGCAUGUGACCCACUUUGUUUUCUCCCAAAUUUUAGUUUCAAUCAUCUUCUAAAAAUAUGUCUUCCAUCACCAAUUGCAAUCUGCAUGUGAUUCUAGCCUUCCUUGAGGUGAAAUUGAGUGUUUGAGGGAUUUCUAUGAGCUAGGUUAGCUGAUUAAAAGGUAAAGGGAGUUGGGUCUUUGAUUUUCUGUUUGGUAAAUUUAGUAAUGCAUGAGUUAGGUCUGUGUUUCAAAGUAUGAAAUGUUAUAUGUAUGAAACUGUUUGAUAUUUCACUACUGUUGGACUGAAAUGAGUAAUUUUGUAUGAUAAGGUUAAUGAUUAGUGUGGAUUUAGUGUGUGACUGUGAAAUUUGUAAUUUUGAAUUGGUAUGAAUAAGAAUUGAUGCAGAUAUUGAGUGAUUGAAUGAAGUGAUUUCUGUUAAAUAAGUUUUAGAUUAGCAGUUGAGUGAAUUUGGGUGUUUUGGGUCCUGUUAGAGGAGCUGAGGUAGUCAAUUUGAGGACUAGGUAUUAUAGGUUGUUCUGGUUAGUUUAGAUAAUUUAGGUAAGUCAAUUAGGACCUAAUUGGAUCCCUCAAAUGGUCAAAAUCAGACUCAAGGUGAUAUAAUUAAAUUUGGGUUCAUAGGUUGUGAGAUUUUAAGUUUUAAGGUGUAAAUCAAUGCAUAACUAAUUUAUAACGAUGUUAGAAAGGGUUGUAAUCAGUUGGACAAGUUUAAUUCAACAUAUAAAUUGAUUUAGGGGUGUUAGAAGUUUGUCAAAAUUAUUAGAAUUGGUAUGGGAGGGUGGAGUUGCUCAAUUAUGCAGUUUUAGGGUGCUGCAGAUCAUGUAGAGUCGCCUAGCGCACUCUGUGCGCUCUGCGAGGGGCUUCUGUCAGGAAAAAUUCGCACAGCGCACCACAGGGUGUGCGCUCAACGAAUUUUUUGCGACAGAUUGAGUAUUUUUGAUGAUUUUGACGUUUUGGAAGUUCCGGACGUCUGUUUUGGACGUUUUUUAGGUCAUUCUGGGGGGUUUGGACCCUUCCGGAACUGUUGGUGAUGGUUUCAAAGCCAUUUUCUUUGUCUAAGUAUGAGUUACGGGGUUUUGGGUUGUUUAGUGAUUCUUCUUGGACUGUUAUGAUAGGCUAAUGUAUAUUGAAUGGUUUUUUUUUAUAUGGAUUUCAAUGUGAUAACAUUAUGGUAUUCACUUGUGACGUCUUGAGUUACGUUGUAAAGUGAAAAUAUGGUUGAUGGACGUAAUUCCAUGAUCCUCAAGGGAGGUUACAUGGUGGUGCCACUGUAAUUUGUCGUGAUUUACCGUAUGAAUGGCCGGAGUUCAGGAUGGGGUUUACCUGGACAUUCUAAUGACCAUUCAUGCUCAAUUAGAGAGUGAUGAGUCAUGUGGUGAGAAUAACAGGAGGUCCUAGUCUUUGGUGUCUCCAUUUAUGGGCCAAGAUGAGUUUGGUUGGACUUACACUUGUGUGUGGUCGGGUGAAACCCCUCGGCAAUGGCUUUGCAAAGCAGUAGGGCCACAACAAGUGCACAAACCCCUGGAACUCGACAUUUCAUACUAGUCCGGACGGUCAAAUCACGUGGUCUGUCAUUAGUAUCAAUCAAAUGCAUUCAUUUACAGUUUGUGUUGUAUUAUUGUCAUUACAUGCUUGAAAUACUUGAUUGAUAACAUGUUUUAUUUUUAUUAUAUCUAGAUUACCCUUGCAUUUGUUUGUUGUAUGUACUUGCCUUUCCCCCUUGCGAUGAUCAUCCAAUCCUUUGGAUGUGAGUAGUAGCUGAUGAUGUACCCUUGGAGAAUGAAGAAGACACAGCUUCCAGUUCUUAGGAUCUUUUCUAGCUUUUGUUUUGUCAUGUUCUAUAUUUUUGGAAACACUCUUUAGGCAUCCUUAAAUCUUUAAUUGGUCAUGUAUUUUGGAGAAUUAUUAAACUUGUAUCAAAUUUUAAAUUUCAGCCAUAUUUUGGAUGAUUGUAU